rnacentral:rRNA from 1 species
CACGUAGGGCGCAAGCGUUGUCCGGAAUUAUUGGGCGUAAAGCGCGUGUAGGCGGCAGUGCAAGUCGGGUGUGAAAGCCCUCAGCUCAACUGAGGAAGUGCGCCCGAAACUGCAUUGCUUGAGUACCGGAGAGGAUGGCGGAAUUCCCGAAGUAGAGGUGAAAUUCGUAGAUAUCGGGAGGAACACCGGUGGCGAAGGCGGCCAUCUGGGCGGAUACUGACGCUGAGACGCGAAAGCGUGGGGAGCAAACAGG